GUACAUGAUGUCUCUGUCAAACGAUGCGAAUGCUCGGUGUGAAAUGAAUAUUUAUUGAUGUGAAUAUCGCUGAUUAUCACAAUCUGACACCGAGUCUGAAAUGUUUUGUUGUGUUUAUGAAUUAUAAAUCUUAUAAAUUGUGAUGUCUGGUAUCAAGGAUUAAGGAUAAUAGAAACAUGGCAAAUGAAGAAAUAAAGUUCUAAUAAAUAUGGAUGGAGAGAUUUAUUGAGCUGAUAAAUCAUCAGGUAUCAAGAGAAAAAGAAAUUUUUCAUGGAAAAUUUCUAGAAACUCCGUGAAGCAAUGGCAUUGUUUUAAAGAUUCUUCGAUAAUUCAAUCGAUUUCUAAUUAUACGAUUGGAUUUCAUUCAACUGUAAAUGUCUUCAAGUUUAUGGGGUCAUGUUGAAAGGAGAACUCGAUGGAAUUCAUUGGCUUUUAUUGGAAUAUGGCAAAGGCCAAAAUGAAGAUCUUUCAAUCGGUUGUAGAAAUCUUUAGUUAGUCAUAUUUAAUAGAGUUAGUAAGUGAAUACAAAUCUUUGGGCUGUAUUCUAAAAUAACAAUAAAUAUAAAUAAAAUCAUGUUACACGAAUAUGUUACACAAAAUGAAAUAGGGAGAAAUAUUCAAGUUUUCUUUCUUUUUGUUAAUUUGAGAAACUGAAAUGAAUGAAUGAAAUAGAUCAUUCUAAAUAUUAAACAAACAACAUUAAAAUUUUUCAUUGCAAAUUUCUAAGAGCUAUGAAAGCUAAAUCUGUGAAAAUGUUUUUGAAAAUUAUUUUAA